GUAGGUGAACCUGCGGAAGGAUCAUUAAUGAAUAUAACACCGGAGGGAGGAAUACGGGGGACAAAGUUGUCGCUGGCCUUGUAACGAGGCAUGUGCACGCUCCCCGAGGACCUCUCGACGUCUUUCAUCUUAUCACCUGUGCACCUAAAGUAGGUCGGCAUGGUUUUGGUAAAACGAAACCGUGCGAGUGCCUUUCCCUGCGGGGGGAGGUCGAGAACCUAUUGUAUUAAAUUACAUCUUCGUGUAGAAAGUCUUUGAAUGUUUACGAUCAUAGAGCCGCGACUUCUAGGAGACGCGGGUCUUUGAGAUAAAAGUUAUUACAACUUUCAGCAAUGGAUCUCUUGGCUCUC
rnacentral:misc_RNA from 1 species